GUGUUUGCUUUGGAAGCACAUAUACUAAAGUUGGAAUGAUACAGAGAAAAUUAGCAUGGUCCUUCUGCGCAAAUAUGACACGCAAAUUUGUGAAGCAUUCCAUAUUUUU